rnacentral:lncRNA from 1 species
AAAAUUUCCUAGUCCAUUCCCUAACUAGCCCAUAACCGGAUCUCUCCCCCUCCUUUAAAGCCCCUUUUUAUCCGAGGCCUAAAAAAGGGAUCAGAUCCUUGCACCUCAGCAGAGGGCGCCGUUCCUAGGCCUUCUUCUUCCUCAUUUUCUUAGAAAUAAUCAGAGGACCCCUCUUUUGGAAAGACCCCUUGAACAACGGCGUAGCUUGCCCCCUUCUCCUCCUUUCCUUCAUCACCUCCAACCAUCAGAUCCCUUACCCAAGAACCCAGAAACCAGAGAAAUAAUCAGAUCGUUCACAUAAAAGAAAAGAGACCCCUUUGUAUUUGCUUUCUCAAAAAGAGGAGCGCCGUUUCUGGCUCUCCAUCUUCACCAAGAGAGCCGCCUGGUCCCCUCCCUUAAAAAAAUAGACCAUCGGACCCCCCAUUCCCCAAGCACACACGAGAUAGUGAAGAACCAAUUUCAAAAUUCCGAAUUCAAAACCCAGAUCUGAAAAUGAAAUUUCGAAAUUCAAAGUUCACCCUGAGAUUUAUAACUCCACAGACCUCAAAAACUAAAAAAAAUGAGUGAAAGGAAGAUCUCGAAGAGCUGUUGCCGUUUCUACUGAUUUCGCUUUUUUGGAAUUACUGGGAUUUCAAAAAUGCUGCUGUUCUGUAUUGGAAUUAUUAGUUGAGCUCUACUGCUUGUUUGCUUAAGAGGUAAACUCAAAAGCACCCCUUUGUAUUUUGUUAUAUUUAGUGAUGAAUGCUUGAACAGUGAAGUGAGUUCCAAUUGUUUGUGAUAUUGAGUUUAAUCAUUUAUUUCUCCUACUGGUUCAAUUCUGUUAGAAGCUAGAGUUACGUUUUCCUUAAUACUUCUGCAAUCUGCCAUGUUGUAUAUGGACGUUAAGCGAAAUAGACCUUCAUUUAUAAAAGAAGAACAAUAACUUUAAAUAGCAUCUAUUUGAAUCUUUAAGGUUAUGCAUUUUAGUAAGGAGGGAAUACGGUGAAGUGGAGGUUUGGUCUUCCAGAUCAUUAUCUUCAAGGAAAUCAUAAUAUUAGUUUCUGUUGCACAGUGAAGUGGAGGUUCUUAGAAGAUGAAAAUAAUUAUUUCUUGUAGUUUCUUUUCCGAUUUGAAAUCACGUUUCCCUUAUUUAAUUGUUUAUUUGUCUUGUUUUAGAUUAGUUCAAAUUAUUUAGUUUUCCAUCUUCACUGGUUUUGACAUUUUCGAUUUGGCACACUUUGGUUUGAAUGAGUUAUAUAAAGUACUGAAGAUUUUAUUUUCUUGGUUCUUUCCCUUUUGUUGCUUGUUGCUGGUUUAAAGGAGCAGGCCAAUAUUUAGUUAGUUAAGAACUUGAAAUAUGUAUUAAUUUUACAUCCUCUAAUACUUUAUCAGUGUUUGAACAAAAUAUUUUGGGCCGAAGUAUUUAUUGUUGUGCAGCCCAAUUUAGUUGGUCCAUCUUUUCUAUAACAAAUGAUAGAAUUGUAAGCAUUUAAAUUUUAUCGAAUUUAAAUUGAUAAAAUAAUGCCGACUAUGUUUUAAAUAUAUUAGUCCAAAUAAAUUUAUUGAGAUAAUAUAAUUGAAUUAUUUAUAUAAGUCCAACAUAUAUGGAUUAAAUAAAUGAGGCUUAAUCCAUUGGACUUGUCCAUUUAGUUGAGCUACAAAUAAUGAGUCCACUUCAUUAGGCCCAAUAUGUCAUCUUUCUAGAGGCCCAAGUUUGGUGCCACAUGUCAAAUAACGUGGCACGCUAAGUCAAACGAAAGAGCUAAUAGGAUCAUGCCACGUGUCAAAAUGACAAGGCAUGCUAAGUCACAUUAAAAGACUAAUAAAAUCGCGCCACUUGUGCAAGUGACAUGUUCUGGCCAAUCAAAUGCAGUCAUGUCACACUUCAAUUUGAUUGGUCGGAAAGAGUUUGUUCUUAUCAUAACUCUUCCUUUCUACAACUAUAAAUAGGGGUCUUCAUAACUCAAAAAAGACAUUAGAAGUUAUAACAAGAAACAAGAGAGAACUCGCGGAUCAAACGCUGUAGAUUUCUCUAAAAGCUACAAGCAUUCAAGUGUUCUAAGGAUUAAAAGAUCAAGACGAAGAUUCAAGAACAAGCUGCAAGCCCUUGGAUUAAAAAUACGUCAAGAUCAAGAUCAGGCUUCAAGCACUUGGAUUAAAAUAAAACAAAAUUCAAGAUCAAGCUCAAAUGCCCUUGAAUUUAUACUAGAAAAGUAGAAUAAGAGGAAUCAUAGAGAUUGUACACUCAAAUAUUCGAAAUAAAAUACUAUGAUUGUUGCGCUAUUUUUCAGUCUUGAUUUUAUUUUCUCGACGUAAUUUAUUGUCUACAAAUUCUGGCACGCCCAGUGGGACAAUCUCUACCUCUCAUCUCAACUUUUCAAUCACCAAAGUCCGAGAACAUUGAAAUGGCUUCAAAGAAAAUCAACUCCGGUUCAACUUCCACCAAAGCUGCUAACUCCAGGUUCUAUGCUGAUGUGGAAAGCAUCCUCGAUGUUACCUUUGGAAGCUUCAGACUAAUUACGAGGAGUAAAGCAAGCUCUUUAGGACAACAAGCACCCCAAGUACCGUCCGCAUCAACCCCUGUUUUUGGAUCUUCAUCCUUAAAAGGAGCAAGAUCUUCCACAAACGCAUCUGAAAGAGGAAGCGAUGUUGGUAAAAAGAUCAAGAAAACUCUUACUCUCCUUGACCUCUCCGGAUCCAAGCAAUCUGCUGUGAAGGAAGAUGAUGAUGCUUUAAGUGAUGGAUCCUCCCUACUUACACCACAUAGUGUGAACCAAUCAAGGAUCAAUCUAUGUGAAAAUCCAUGCUACCCUCCAUCGUCCACGACACUCGUGCAAGCCAUGGUGAUAAGCACUUCAUAUAUGGAGGAGCAAUUGGCAAACUUGACGGAAGCAAUCNNNNNNNNNNNNNNNNNNNNNNNNNAGUUAAAUCUCAUUGAGCUUCCGGAGAUGAAGCGACCAAAUAAAUAUGGGAAAACAAAUGACCCAAAUUACUGCAAAUAUCACCGACUUGUAAGUCACCCUCUGGAGAAGUGCUUUGUCUUCAAGGACAAAGUCAUGGACUUGGCUCGCGAAAAGAAGAUCGUGUGUGAAGAUGAGAAAACAAGCAUAAACCAAGUCUCUAUGACCUUUGGCUCAUUUAGUUCGGAUGAAUUAUGCCGUAUUAAAGAAAGUAAAGAUGAAGAAUUACUGGAGAAUGACAAAUCUAAAGUCAAUCAACCUGAGGAUGAUGAAGGUUGGACAUUGGUGACUCGUCGUAGGCGCCACAAAAGGAGCCCAUGAAAAGAAUCAAUAGAACAACCAACAAGGAAAAUAAUGGUGAAAAGACCGAGGAAAUGGAAUCCAGUUAAGCACGUAAAGAAAGCAAAAGUGGAGGUGCACCACCCUCAAAAGCCACGACAUCCAGUGACCUUGGAGGAUUUCAUGCCAUGUUGGUUCCGCAUGAAGAUUUCCCGUGAUGGUAUUGAAGCCUCUUGUUGCAAUGCUGAUAAAAGGGAAGAAAAGAGUGACGACCUAUCGUUGGUACCAUCUUCAGAAAAGCUCAUCGAGUCUAUUCCUCAAGAAGCUAAUGCCUGCGAGGAAAAAGUUACGUUCACAAAUAAUGAUCUUCUACUAGGUGACGCUCUUCACAAUCGCCCAGUAUACCUGGUUGGCUAUAUGCGCGAUGAAAGAAUAAAUCGAAUUUUGGUUGAUGGGGGAUCCUCAGUGAACAUUUUGCCAAUUCGCACUGUGAAAGAACUUGGUAUUCCCAUGAGUGAACUCUCAGAAAGUCGAAUGAUGAUCCAAGGAUUCAACCAAGGGAGAAAAGAGCCAUAUGCGCGAUCAGGCUGGAAAUCAUCAUUGAAGAUAUGCAAUCAAGUGCAUGGUUACAUGUGAUCGAUGCAAAGACUUCAUACAACAUCUUGCUUGGAAGGCCUUGGAUACAUGAGAACAAAGUGGUCCCAUCUACCUACCAUCAAUGUUUGAAAUACUACGAGGGUGAAGUUGAGAUGAAGAUAGUUGCUGAUGAUGAGCCAUUCACUGAGGCAGAGUCACACUUCGCCGAUGCAAAGUUCUACUUGACUAACCGCAUUGUGAAGGAGAUAAAAGUUGAUUACGACAUCAAAUGCAAGAAUGACGAGCCCACAACUAAAAGACCAGAGGUGACUACUCGUGAAGCCAAAGCUGUUACUGAGGAGAUACAUGCCGACGUGAAUAAAUCUCAUAAAUGGGGUAUUGCGUCUUAUGGCAAGAAAGUAAGUCUUGUGCUCCAAUAUGUCCCUAAAAGGAAGAAAGACGAGGGCACAUCAUCUAAUCUCCAAACCAAGAUGCUAAGGGAGUUAACUCUUCCGGUAAAACGAAUUGAGGUAGUAAAGUUGUCCUCGAAGCCGCUUGCAAGGUUUGUAGCCCAAAAUCAUUUACAGAAUGUGGCACUCCCUACAAAGCGAACAGACGAAGGUUUUGAUCCUAACGCUUACAAGCUAUUUGCAAAAGUUGGAUACAAUCCCAAUGAGCCAUUAAAGUUAGAGAAGCUCCCAUCAGAAGCUGCAACGAGGCAACCACGUGAAGGUCUGGGAUACAAGAAAUCGUCACUAGUGCGAAUCUCAAUAAGAAGGGCGAGUAAGAAUUAUAUCACUAUAGAAGAUGAAUCUGCCGCUUCUAACAUGCCUUCUGUUUUUGAUUGACUUGAAAAAUCAACUGUGAGAACUUUUGUAUUUGAGAGAUUGGGUCCAUUAAAGAAGGGAAAUAAGUUCCAGAGAAAUUUUCAAAGCAUAAGAACACCCGCUUCACCCAAAAUCUAGAAGAUCUCUAAGGAUUUCCAAAGUUUGGUUCCUUCUAGAAUGAGGCGACAAACAAAAUUUGUGGUUUCAUGUAAAGAAGUACAGAAGGUAAAGCCAUAUGCUGUGGUCUACACUAAGGAGCGUGACGAAGAUGAAGAAAGUGUAGGUUCUUCGAAUCAUGUUACUGUACAAGGCAAGAAUGGUGUUCCAUCUUCAAUGGAGGAUAAUGUAGAAUUGGGGGAUGUUUCACCAUGUUAUCACAUAUCCUUCAACGAUAGGGACCCUCAAGAAGAUGAAGAUACGAAAGACGCUCCACCCGAACUUGAAGAAGGAGUGAAAACGACAGUUGAUGCCUUAAAAAAAAUUAACCUUGGCACCGAUGAGGAACCAAGACUCACCUACCUAAGUGCUUUACUAGAAGCUGAUGAAGAGAGCAUUUAUAUUGAGUUACUCAAGGAGUUCAGGGAUGUCUUCGCUUGGAGUUACAAAGAGAUGCCUGACUUGGACCUGAAAGUAGCAGUCCAUCACCUUGUAGUCAAAAAUGGUGCUCACCCCGUUAAACAAGCUCAAAGGCAUUUUAGGCCGUACUUGGUUCCNNNNNNNNNNNNNNNNNNNNNNNNNNNNNNNNNNNNNNNNNNNNNNNNNNNNNNNNNNNNNNNNNNNNNNNNNNNNNNNNNNNNNNNNNNNNNNNNNNNNNNNNNNNNNNNGUUAAUGGACUUUUGGCAGAUCACCCUAUACCUGAUGAUUGGGAGCUAACUAAUGAACUACCUGAUGAGGACGCCAUGGUUAUCGAUGUUCAGCCUCCAUGGAAGAUGUACUUUAAUGGUGCUGCACAUCGCGGAGGAGCUGGUGCUGGUGUAGUAUUUGUCACUUCUCAAGGUGAAGUUCUGCCCUACUCUUUUACGUUGACGCAAAUUUGCUCUAACAACGUAGCUGAGUAUCAAGCACUAAUACUUGGGCUCGAAAUGGCUGUCGAAAUGAAGCGGUUUCAAUUGCAAGUCUUUGGUGACUCUCAGUUAGUGGUCAAUCAGCUUUUAAGUAGUUACGAGGUCAAGAAGCCUGAACUACGCCUAUAUCUUGAUUACGCUAAAAUGUUAAUGGGGUGGAUCGAUGAUGUGACUAUUCAACAUGUGCCAAGGAAAGAAAAUAAGAAGGCGGACGCUUUAGCUGCCCUAGCUUCAUCUUAACCCUUCCUGAUCAAGCGCAAUUUACUGUCUGCCAAAAAUGGGUAGUACCACUGCCAAAUGAGGCUGAAGGUGAAGAAAAUGAACUCAAGCAUCUUGUCGCUAUUUCUGAAGUCGAGAAAGAAGAAUGGAGACAACCCAUUAUUGACUACUUGUGCUAUAGGAUACUUCCAGAAAAUUCGCGGAGAAGAACUGAAAUCCGUCGUCGUGCACCUCGCUUCCUUUACUACAAAGAUACUCUAUAUAGAAGAUCAUUCAAGGGAGUACUCUUGUGAUGCUUAGGGGAAGAUGAAGCACUCCAAGCUUUGCAAGAAGCGCAUUAUGGGGUUUGUGGGUCACACCAGUCUGGACCAAAGCUCCACUUCCAUAUAAAAAGGAUGAGAUAUUAUUGGCCAACGAUGAUAAAAGAUUGCUUGGACUACGCUCGAAGAUACAAGGCUUGUCAAUUCCAUGCGAAUUUUAUUCAUCAACCUCCUGAAGUGUUGCACCCAACUGUUGCAUCCUGGCCAUUUGACACUUGGGGAUUGGAUGUUGUUGGACCACUACCAAAGUCCUCUGGCGGGCACCUAUACAUCUUGGCUGCAAUUGACUACUUCUUAAAAUGGGCUGAAGUUGUUGCUCUUAAGGAGGUAAAGAAGGAAAAUGUUGCAAGUUUCAUCCGAGUAAACAUCAUCUAUCGCUUUGGUAUUACCCGUUACAUAAUAACGGAUAAUGGCAAGUCGUUCGACAAUAGGUUGGUGAACAAGAUUUGUGAGCUCUUUGGCUUCAAGCAACGUAACUCUUCGAUGUACAAUACUGUUGCCAAUGGUCUAGCCGAGGCAUUCAACAAGACACUAUGCAACUUGUUAAAGAAAGUCAUCUCCAAAUCCAAACGAAAUUGGAAUGACCGUAUGGAAGAAGCUCUAUGGGCAUAUAGGACGACUCACCGCACGCCAACACAAGCGACUCCUUAUUCACUCGUUUAUUGAGUCGAAGCUAUCUUGCCACUUGAGCGUCAAAGACCUUCAUUAUGACUGGCUAUUCAAGAGGGCAUCACUGAUGAAGAAAAUGCUCGACUUCGAUUAGCAGAGUUGGAGGCUCUUGAUGAGAAGAGGUUGGAAGCUCAACAGAGUCUUGAAUGUUAUCAAACUCGAUUGUCUCAUGCCUUCAAUAAAAAGGUUCGCCCGAGAUCCUUUCAAGUAGGAGAUCAAGUCCUUGCCAUACGAAGACCCAUAAUUACUUCUGAUAAACCUGUAGGGAAGUUCACUUCAAAAUUGGAUGGGCCAUAUGUCGUACAAGAAGCUUACUCAAGUGGGGAUUACAAGUUGGUUGAUGCAGAUGACAUGAGAAUUGACCCUAUCAAUGGCUAGUUUUUAAAGAAGUAUUAUCCUUGAAGUUGCUAUGCUCCUUGACGCACGAGCCUAAACUGCAUGUUGCUACACUUCUGGCCCGCAUGAGUCUAAACUUUGUACGACCCCUACAAAAAAAAAAAGAGUCCGCUAGGUUGGAAACUUUGAAAGAGGCGGCCUAGGCAAAAGUUAGGACAUAAAAAAAAGGAGUCCGCUAGGUUGAAAACUUCGAAAGAGGCGGCCUAGGCAGAAAGUUAGGACAUAAAAAAAAAUCACAUAGUCUGAACUACGGUAUGACUUGAUCCUCUUCAUCGAGGCACGCAUGCAGCUUAGAGUUUCAUUCUAAGUCCAGUCACAUAAGUUCAAAAGAUACAUAUUACCCCAAUUGAAUGAAGUAUAAAGGAAUGUAAAAUCAAGCUGAAACGCCAUCUUCCUGUUGAACUUUGAUCUCAUUUGAUUUAAAGGGGGCAACCCUCCAUGGUAAAGGGAUAUCUUCAAUGGGCCGAUUUUAGGAGGAUGUCAAGUAUUUGCAUUGAAGUCCAGGGAUUCUCUGUGUCUUCAGGUUCGCCAAACCUUCAAGUUUGUUGGUCUACAAGUCCGCCCUUUGCCUUAAGGGGGGGGGGGGGAGGGGAAGAAAAGAGAGGCGUCGAAAGGAAACACAAGUAUAAGGAAAAGAUUGCUUGGCACAAUGUUUCGAAUUCAGUGAGACUUGAACCCAAGAUAUUUGUGAGAAUAUAACUCUUAAAUUUUGAUUGACGGCAAGUAAGACAUCUUCCGAUCUCGAGGCUUCCAUACCAAGAUACAAAAGUUUUGGUGAAGUCGCGCAAUCUGAAAUCGUCAGCGUGUCAGAAUUUUACGUUAAAUUUGGAAUAUUAUCUGAAACUAUCCUUAAGGCAUUAAAUUUUGCAUUUUGGAUAUGAUUUAAAUUUCGAAACUAGGUUUUCAAAAAAUCAAACGGUUCGUAGUUUCGACGUUUCUACACCAAGAUAUGAAUUUCUUUGGUGAGACUGUGCAAAUCUGGAAUUGAUAGCGUUUUGAUUGAGAAUUUUGGAUAUCUUCUAGGUCUUGAAGUCUAGUUUUCAAGAAAUUAAAGGGUUUUUAAUUUCGACGUUCCUACACUAGGAUAUGAAUUUUUUGGUGGGACUGCGCAAAUCUGGUUUUGAUAGCCUGGUGCAAUAUAAAGUUGAUUUUAAAAUAUUAUUUGGGACGAUUAUGAAGUUGUUUGAUUGAGAAUUUUGGAUAUGUUGUAGAUCUUGAAGUCUAAUUUUCAAUAAAUCAAACGGUUCAUUAUUUCGAUAUUUCUAUACCAAGAUCUGAAUUUUUUUGAUGGGACUGCACAAUUCUUGGCACGUCCAGUGGGACAAUGCUAGAGCUAAAUCUCCUACAAUGUGAUGUGGGACUUUGUUCAUCAAUUAAAUAAGAGUAAAUUUGUGACAAUGUUAGAGCUAAAUCAAAAUAUGUGCAAUAACAAGAUGCAUGACACAUACUCAAGUUCAAUUAUUGCAAUUGGAAAGAAAUAUUAUUCUAAUGGAACAAAAAGAAGAAUUUUUGGCAAAGUUCAAAAUCUCCUGCCAAGGUGACGUCAAUCAUCCAUAUUUGUAAUCAAAUGUGUUUUGGUACAAAAAUAUGGCAAACGAACAUUUCAAGUACCAAUUUGACGUCUUUAUGAUACUUCAAGCCUAGUCGUAUUGAUUUAAUAUCCCGUCAAGUCUUGAAGUAGGGGUCAUUUGUAAGCAUUUAAAUUUUAUCGAAUUUUGAUAAAAUAAUGUGGACUAUGUUUUAAAUAUAUUAGUUCAAAUAAAUUUAUUGAGAUAAUAUAAUUGGAUUAUUUAUAUAAGUCAAACAUAUAUGGAUUAAAUAAAUGAGGCUUAAUCCAUUGGACUUGUCCAUUUAGUUGUUCUACAACAAAUGAGUCCACUUCAUUAAGCCCAAUAUGCCAUCUUCCUAGAGGCACAAGUUUGGUGCCACAUGUCAAAUGAUGUGGCAUGCCAAGUCAAACGAAAGAGCUAAUAGGAUCAUGCCACGUGUCAAAAUGAUAAGGCAUGCCAAGUCACAUUAAAAGGCUAAUGAAAUCGCACCAUUUGUGCAAGUGACAUGUUCUGGCCAAUCAAAUGCGGCAAUGUCACACUUCAAUUUGAUUGGUCGGAAAGAGUUUGUUCUUAACAUAACUCUUCCUUUCCACAACUAUAAAUAGGAGUCUUCAUAGCUCAGAAAAGACAUCGGAAGUUAUAACAAGAAGCAAGAGAGAGCUCGUGGAUUAAACGCUGCAGAUUUCUCUAAAAGCUACAAGCAUUCAAGUGUUCUAAGGAUUAAAAGAUCAAGACGAAAAUUUAAGAUCAAGCUGCAAGCCCUUGGAUUAAAAAUACGUCAAGAUCAAGAGCAUGCCUCGAGCACUUGGAUUAAAAUAAAAUAAAAUUCAAGAUCAAGCUCAAAUGCCCUUGAAUUUAUACUAGAAAAGUAGAAUCAGAGGAAUUAUAGAGAUUGUACACUCAAAUAUUCAAAAUAAAAUAUUAUGAUUGUUGCAAUAUUUUUCACUCUUGAUUUUAUUUUCUUGAUGCAAUUUAUUGUCUACAAGAAUAUUAGUAAUUUUAGGCAUAAUUGUGAGUUAUAACUUUGAUUAACUGCUUUGAAAUUCUUAAUAUUACUCAUAAAGUUCUACAUUAAUUCCAUAAAUCAUGGCCUUACAAUAAUCUCAAAUUUAGGGAAAGAUAAUAAUUCAUGAAUAUCGUAGUUUGCUUUAGGCGCGUUUAAUAAUAAAUCGUCGUGACUAUGAGUACGGUUCCUGUGACGUAGUUAUGAUGCCUAUUUCCAAAUUCAGGUGUGCAUUUCAUGCGAUCCGAUCAUAACAACUUCAAAC